GGGGGUGUAGCUCAGCUGGGAGAGCACCUGCUUUGCAAGCAGGGGGUCAGCGGUUCGAACCCGCUCAUCUCCACCA
rnacentral:tRNA from 1 species